rnacentral:tRNA from 1 species
AGGAGGUUAGUCCAAACAAGACCCCUGAUUUCGACUCAGAAGAUCGCAGUUAAAACCCGCGACCCCCUU